AUUCUGCUGGAGAUCCCUGUGUAUCUGAGGCCUUCCAAAGUUCAAGUCUUCCCAUUCCUCCUCCAUCCACAAUGGCAGUUGUGUAUUCUCACCACUCAAAAGGGGAACAAUGUCCUGUCCUCAGGAAAACAGUAGGUGACACUCAACUGUGGCCCACAGAAGUAUGGGAUACGUUUCCUCAGAUCCUGGUGACCCAUCCAAGGGAAGCACAAGAGAGAACAUGCUGUUUUGGGAGCCCCUCACCCCGUGUCUGUGUUCACCUUGGGUUCUGAUAACCCACAGCCACUCUGCAUCACAGACUUACCUACCUGACCAAGGUGCUGAAGUGCCAAAGGCAUUUUUAAAUUUUUAUUUUAAUGGGCCCGGGAGUUUAAAUCUCAUUGACUUUCAAAUCGACUGUGCAGAUCAAUGCACAAUGCCCUGACAAGGCAAGAUGGUUUCCAACGGACGUCCUCCUGCACAUCAGCCAGCCCUCUUCAAUGCUGCUCCAGCAUUGUGGGAUUCAGCUGCAAUCUCCUCCAACCCUGGAAUUUCUAAUGAGUCCUCAAGCCAGACCUUCAACUUACUUUGUGCAGAGAUAUAAGUAAGCAUCUGAUGGAACUGAAGCCUGACUCCCAUUGAAAUCUGGUGCCUAACCUGCUUAGAUGCAUCUGGAAAUCCUAUUAAAGAACUACCUUGCACCUUUAAGCACCUAAAUGCAUUUGAAAAUGCUUUCUUAGGUGACUCAGGGAUGGAAGGCCAAAACAUUUUGAGAGGAUUUGUGCUCCUGACUCACCCGUAGCUCCCUCAAGAAAUCUCUCUCUCUCUCUGCGUUGUGCUGAUGUCCCAUGUAACCUUCCUCUUUCAUUCCAUCUUGUGUUGUUCAUCGGUGAAGGACUCUAAAUAAUUCCUCCCCCUUCCUUACUGUUGACACUUCUCUGAGUAUUUGCAGGCCAUUAUUAAAUCACCUCUUUACUCAUCCUUUAUCUGAGCUGUACAUAAUUAGUUCCUUUAAUCUUUCCUCAUAGGUCAAUCCUUCUAAACCCUUGAUCAUCUUUAUCUCCUUUUCCUGGAGACCCUCCAAUUUGCUGACACUUUUUUUUUUCUUUGCUUUCAUUUUAUUUUGCAUGGAGCAGCACAGCACAUGCCAUGAGCCCUGGGUGCUUUCUGUAGGCUGCUCCCUGGGGCAUCGCCCCUACUUGGUGUCAGCAGUGUUGGCACUGGAUGGGGAAGGCGAGAAGAAGCACUUCAACCCAUGCAGGCCACAGCACCAGGCUGUUCCCCAGCUCUGGGUCCCAUAUACCUGUGCCUUCCCACCUGGGGAGCUCCAUCCUUCUUGCCAUGAAGGAUACUGCUGGCUCCCUUCCCAAGCAUGGAUGCACAGUGCUAGCUCCUGUCCAGCUCAGCAAUGCAGGACUUUGGCAUGUGCAGCCCAGAAUAGCACGGCCUGCUUUGCUUUCCUCAUAAUAAUGCUAUUUCUGCUUUAUUUAUUUAUUUAUUGUAUUAUAUUUGUCCUUAGUCCUUCCCUCUAAGAAACCUUUCUCAGCUGCUAUUGCGCUCCCCUUCACAG
ensembl:lncRNA